GUUGGUAAGAUAACAGCCUACCAAGGCGAUGAUGCGUAGCUGUACUGAGAGGUAGAACAGCCACAUUGGGACUGAGAUACGGCCCAAACUCCUACGGGAGGCAGCAGUAGGGAAUUUUCGGCAAUGGGGGGAACCCUGACCGAGCAAUGCCGCGUGAUUGAAGAAGAUCUUCGGAUCGUAAAGAUCUGUUAUUAGGGAAGAAUAUUCAGAAGAGGAAAUGCUUUUGAGUUGACGGUGCCUAAUGAGGAAGCCCCGGCUAACUAUGUGCCAGCAGCCGCGGUAAUACAUAGGGGGCGAGCGUUAUCCGGAAUUAUUGGGCGUAAAGGGUACGUAGGCGGGCCUGCAAGUCUGAUUUGAAAGCACACGGCUUAACCGUGUGAGGUAAUUAGAAACUACGAGUCUAGAGAGUGGUAGAGGUAAAUGGAAUUCCAAGUGGAGCGGUGAAAUGCGUAGAGAUUUGGAGGAACACCAGUGGCGAAGGCGGUUUACUGGGCCACAUCUGACGCUGAUGUACGAAAGCGUGGGGAGCAAACAGGAUUAGAUACCCUGGUAGUCCACGCCGUAAACGAUGAGUGCUAAGUAUCGGGAGAACUCGGUGCUCAAGCU
rnacentral:rRNA from 1 species